GAGAUGUGUUCAAAUGAUUUAAUAAACCUGUGGCUAGUUCUGGCUCACAAUUGGAUCAUACAUAGAGCCCAUCGUGGUGGGAAGGCAUGACGGGGAACACGAGGCAGCUGGUCACACUGCUCUGCACUCAGUCAGAAGUCAGAUAAAAUUGAUGUGUUUGCAGAACCUGAGAAGUCCCAAAAUGUUCAUGAUUAAAUUUUCCAAAUACUUUUCUGCUUCACAGUCUGCUGCCGUCAUUAAGCUCCUGUGCUUUUCUGAAAUGACAGGUUUGGAGACAAAUGCUGGAAACUAUGGAAAUACAUAUAUGAAAUAGGUUUCUUCACUGAAAAAAUGAGCCAACUGAAUCCAAAUCAGGAGUAUAAAAGUAAGCUUAUUUAGAGUCAGAUCAAGGAUAAGUUCACAUAUCUCACAGGGGGAGAUCAGGAAAGCCACAUGCCUGUGCUAGACCAAGAAUGUUCUAUGGGUUUGGGGUGUUGAGUGAUGAUGUGUGAGCUAGAAACUGGGACGAUGCCCAUAUAAGGUAAAAAUCUGAGGCUCUGGAGGGCAUUUGUGGGAGGGUAGCCAGAAACAUGGAAAGUGGGGAGUGAUUUGCCUAGUGGUCUGAUUCGGGGAAGAGGAGCAAACAGGUUUUCUUAGCUUGUGAAGUGGAUGAGCAGGUGUUGCAAUCAAGCAUUAUAUAUUGCUAAAUAUAAUCUCCUCAGUUUAAUAUUAUUUGUAUGUAUGUUUUAAGUGCUUACUAUUUGAUAUUGGAUGACCAGUUGAUAUGCUUUUCCCUUGAGAUUACUUCUCCAGUGGUCAACAAUUUCAGUUUCCUUUAGUCACACAUGUGGGU
rnacentral:sRNA from 1 species